GCGGAGGGAUCAUUACUGAGUUUACGCUCUAUAACCCUUUGUGAACAUACCUAUAACUGUUGCUUCGGCGGGUAGGGUCUCCGCGACCCUCCCGGCCUCCCGCCUCCGGGCGGGUCGGCGCCCGCCGGAGGAUAACCAAACUCUGAUUUAACGACGUUUCUUCUGAGUGGUACAAGCAAAUAAUCAAAACUUUUAACAACGGAUCUCUUGGUUCUGGCAUCGAUGAAGAACGCAGCGAAAUGCGAUAAGUAAUGUGAAUUGCAGAAUUCAGUGAAUCAUCGAAUCUUUGAACGCACAUUGCGCCCGCCAGCAUUCUGGCGGGCAUGCCUGUUCGAGCGUCAUUUCAACCCUCAAGCUCUGCUUGGUGUUGGGGCCCUACAGCUGAUGUAGGCCCUCAAAGGUAGUGGCGGACCCUCCCGGAGCCUCCUUUGCGUAGUAACUUUACGUCUCGCACUGGGAUCCGGAGGGACUCUUGCCGUAAAACCCCCCAAUUUUCCAAAGGUUGACCUCGGAUCAGGUAGGAAUACCCGCUGAACUUAAGCAUAUCAAU
rnacentral:rRNA from 1 species